CCCGCGCAGAAGGCCCUGAACCGGGACGUGACGCGGGAGACCUAUGGCUUCCUGGGCGCGCUCGGUGAGGUCCGGCGGCCCAGCCAGGACCCAGUAAUCUGUGGGAAGCGGGGACUGAUGCGCCCAGGGGCGAUGGGCUGGAAGUGUGGAGCACCGAGCAAGCGCCCUCAGUUCUCUUCUCGGGUUCUCAGCCGAGCCCAGUGUUUGUGAGGAUUUUCAGGCCCCAAACCCAAUUUUAUCUUUUAGGUGGAAAGAGAGGUGGAGGCGUGGAGCCCAGAGGCCCAGGAUCCAGAUCUCUGCAGCUGUGAGCAGAAACGAGGGAAAGGUCCUUCACUUCAAACCCCAGGUUGUGACCUUGGAGAACCUCCUCCCGCACUCGGAGCCUCAGCACACACUGCCCACUCCAGAGCCCCUCCGUGUUUCCCUGCACCUGAUCUGCACAAAGGGCUCAACAGAACAGCUAAAUUGAGACUGGUAGCACUCUUGGGGCCACGUUGCUACCAUCUCUUAGGAAGGCACGUUCCAGUUCUGGUUCUGGUGCACCUUCAGCCACCCGCGACUAGUGUUCAGUUCUUGGGCUGAGGCUCCUGGUCCCUCUUCCAAGUCCCACUUGAGGUUACUUCACUGAAAACCAUUCACCUAACUGGCUUUUCUUUCUGGAUUAUUUUCUCCCUUAGUGCAUUCUGCUUUCUGGACUGUAUCUCUCCCGCUCCUCAGAGACGGAGUACCCUAGAUAUAAGAGCCUAUUAAAGGAGCUGGUGCUCCCUGGAAUAGAGGGCACGCUUCGGGCCUGUCCGCACUGGGGAAGCUCAUCCAAGGAUUCUGUCUUUUACCCAGAGCAGGUCAAGUAGCUAGCAAGAACACACAUGUGGUGUCAAGCCUCUGUUGGCAUUGUUUGGUCUUGAAGACUUAGAGGUGGCCGUAAAGAGGACAGUGGCUUCAGAUAUUUGCAUGUUUCCUGGAUUUUGCAUCUUUUGAGUAAAGAUGUAUUCUUGGGCCACAGCAGCUGGAAAUAUGAUGCUGGGGAAUUUUUUUUUUUUUUAAAGAAGGAGUAUAUUACUUGUGAUUAGAGUUGAAAUCAAGGCAUAGUUAUCUUCCGACUUAAUUUUUACUGUAAUGUUUGUAUGUGUCAACAGUUGAGAGGUCUUUCUGACCUAUUUAGAUUUGCUAGCCCUACUUUAGAACAGGAAACUCUUGAAGGGAUAAAAGCAAGGAGGUGGGGGGGGACUAAGCAUGUCUAUGUCAGGAGUGGUGCUAGGUGGCUCAAAUAUCUCUUGACCAAAAGACUGCUUCUCCAAAUACCUGGGUUCCAAAGAUGAUUAUUAAUGGGAACUGAGGGUUAUUUUUACUUCACUACAUAGCCUCUCCUGAAUUGGUAGACCUGGAUUCCAGGUUCAGCUCAGUCCCCACUAGCUGUGUGGCCUUAAGCAUAUUAUAUUAUUACAUUAUUCAGAUGUAAACUGACAAGUAAAAUUUAUGAACUAUAAUGAC